rnacentral:rRNA from 1 species
UCUUGAUCGAAGCCCCAGUAAACGGCGGCCGUAACUAUAACGGUCCUAAGGUAGCGAAAUUCCUUGUCGGGUAAGUUCCGACCUGCACGAAUGGCGUAAUGAUGGCCAGGCUGUCUCCACCCGAGACUCAGUGAAAUUGAACUCGCUGUGAAGAUGCAGUGUACCCGCGGCAAGACGGAAAGACCCCGUGAACCUUUACUAUAGCUUGACACUGAACAUUGAGCCUUGAUGUGUAGGAUAGGUGGGAGGCAUUGAAGUGUGGACGCCAGUCUGCAUGGAGCCAACCUUGAAAUACCACCCUUUAAUGUUUGAUGUUCUAACUCGGCCCCAUAAUCUGGGGUGAGGACAGUGUCUGGUGGGUAGUUUGACUGGGGCGGUCUCCUCCCAAAGAGUAACGGAGGAGCACGAAGGUUAGCUAAUCACGGUCGGACAUCGUGAGGUUAGUGCAAAGGCAUAAGCUAGCUUGACUGCGAGAGUGACGGCUCGAGCAGGUACGAAAGUAGGUCUUAGUGAUCCGGUGGUUCUGAAUGGAAGGGCCAUCGCUCAACGGAUAAAAGGUACUCCGGGGAUAACAGGCUGAUACCGCCCAAGAGUUCAUAUCGACGGCGGUGUUUGGCACCUCGAUGUCGGCUCAUCACAUCCUGGGGCUGAAGUAGGUCCCAAGGGUAUGGCUGUUCGCCAUUUAAAGUGGUACGCGAGCUGGGUUUAGAACGUCGUGAGACAGUUCGGUCCCUAUCUGCCGUGGGCGUUGGAAGAUUGAGAGGGGCUGCUCCUAGUACGAGAGGACCGGAGUGGACGAAUCACUGGUGUUCGGGUUGUCAUGCCAAUGGCAUUGCCCGGUAGCUAAAUUCGGAAGAGAUAACCGCUGAAAGCAUCUAAGCGGGAAACUUGCCUCGAGAUGAGUCUUCCCUGGGGCUUUAAGCCCCCUGAAGGAACGUUAAAGACUAUGACGUUGAUAGGCUGGGUGUGUAAGUGCAGCGAUGCAUUGAGCUAACCAGUACUAAUGAUCCGUGAGGCUUAACC